UAUUCACGAGGUGAUCACAUUUAUAUUCAUGAGGUGAUCACUGCUAUAUUCACGAGGUGAUCACUGCUAUAUUCACGAGGUGAUCACUGCUAUAUUCACGAGGUGAUCACUGCUAUAUCCACGAGGUGAUCACUGCUAUAUUCACGAGGUGAUCACUGCUAUAUCCACGAGGUGAUCACUGCUAUAUCCACGAGGUGAUCACUGCUAUAUCCACGAGGUGAUCACUGCUAUAUCCACGAGGUGAUCACUGCUAUAUCCACGAGGUGAUCACUGCUAUAUCCACGAGGUGAUCACUGCUAUAU